rnacentral:lncRNA from 1 species
UCCCUCAACGCCUGUCUUCCCUCGCGCGUAGAGAGUGACUCGAAGGACCCCCUCUCCUCUUCGCUGCAGCCCCUCCCCAUGCACGCUGGGAGACUCUUGGAGGGGAUAAGGUGGGGCCCGGAGAGGAAGAGAAGACAAUCGGAUUGGAUAGGCAGCUGCCAUGGCAACUGGAGGCUGUGGUUAUAUUGUCAUAGUAACCGAUGUGUGCGGACAGGGUCACCCUCCCCUUGGCCAAUGGAUUCCCAGGAAACCACCCAGGGUUCCCCGUUGGCUUCCCUUCCAUCUAAAGGCCUCCCCCAAGUUAGGAAUCGAUAUAGUUCUCCCCGGUGGUGAAGUCCACUUCCUCCUCCCUUCCCACUUCCCACAGCAACUGGGGGGACACCCCGAGGCAUUCACCAUGGGCUUUUCCACCCGCCUGCGAGCGGGAACCACCUCCGUAGUUUCCUCUCAGAGCCGGGCGUGGAGAGGGCUGGGCCUGCGAAGAGGAUGCAUGGCCUGGAGGCUGGCGGGCGGCGGGCUGGAGUCGGGAGGGCGAGGCGACAGCGCCAAGCGGCGAGGAAGGGCAAGGGGUUUCCCCACAACUGCCUUGGGCUCUGGGAGGCGGGAUCCCGCCUGGACGGGGUCCCUGAGGGAGGAGAGCGGCACACGACAGCCGCGAUGCCUUCCCUGCCGACGGGGAUAGCCGACUUCUGGCGAGUCGACCCCUCCCCCAAAUCCACCCCACCCGCGUACUCCCUCCUGACCUAGCUGUCGCGAGCCUGCCGCGAGGAGGCCAGGGUGAGGGUGGGAACACAUCCUAGAAGGCUAACACGUGGUUUUCUAUCAUUUAAGCCGGGGACAAGCCGGAAGGCUGACUAGCGCCAUCACUCUGAUAGGCACCCCGCAGUGGGGAUCCUGCUUGAUUAUUAAAGGCAGACCUCCAAGUUCCUCCCUGCUCUGCAACCUUUCUCUUCUCACGGGUCUGCAGUGUUUUAAAAGUCGUCAUUCUGUGUCGUUGAGUUAGAGAGGAAAACAUCGGAUAAAAGAGGAUCAAGAAGAACGAACCCUAGAUACAUCUGUCUGGUGAAAGGAGUCUAGGAAAAGAAGUUUCAUUCUUAGAACAAAUCUUUUUGGAUAUUUAUUAUGUGUGUUUUGUGUCAGGUUUCGGGCCAAAAAGCUGAAAUAAAGAACGAAGUCAAUAAUAAUAUGAAGUGUAUGAGAAAUAGCUGGAAAAUUCAUCAUCCAUGACUUGAAGAAAUUGACGUUUUACAAGUUAUAUUUUCGGUGAAGAGGCACUUUCAAGAUCCUUCUCUGAGACCUGCACCAAUAAGACUAUACCAAUGUUCAGUUGAAACAUCAGACACUGUUCUGGUUAUGAUGGACACCACAGUGAAAGAGACCUGGUCCCUGCCUUGAGGAAACCCAACUGCUGGUAGAGAGCUCAGAGUAAUGAUUAGGAUGCAAUAUGAGGGAUGCAGUAAUUGGGGCAAUUCCUAUGGCUCUAAUGCAGUAUCAGGCACUAAUACUUAUGUAUGAGCAAAAAUUGAUGAGGAUGAUCAUGUUUUAAUACACCAGUACAGACCAAAAUGCCUCUUUGGUAAUUUUCAGAUCUACUUCUGGGAACCGUCACAGCCUGAGAAAGAUGGCAUGCCCUGAAUGGAAUUCACAGAGAAUUAUUUUAAGUCAUGCUACUGGCCCCGCCCAGUUAUGUAACAACUUGCAUUUCCUCAAUUCUCUGGAAUGUGGCCAGUCAGGAACUUCCACAUUUGGUUUUUUUUUUUUCCCCCAUUUGUGGGUAAGAAAGUAAAAGAGGCAGGAAAACUGAAUUGAGAAAGAAGAAAGAAUAGGGGAAGAGAGAAAGAAAAAAGAAAACCAUGAAGCCUGGAAGAGGAGAAAGAAGAGAUAGAUGAGCAAAGAAGCACAUUGCCUGGUGGUAGUAAUAGUUGUCAGACACCCAUCUAUUAUAAUCUGUUUUCCAUGGGAGAUUUUAAGAAGAGGCUAGAUCCCCAGUCUGUCUUAAAAUCAAGAAAAGGGACUCUGUUGCCUCUAAAGUAUACUUCCAGACUCAGCAAUCUCUAAAUUCUGAGUGGGGCAUCCCUAGUUUUGCUGCCUAAAAUCUAUGACAGUUGGAAAUGAUUCCAUUUAAGAUCCAGUUCAAGAAGCUAUACACCCUGAGGAACUUUAUAUUGCCAUUUAGAGGACCGAUAUUCUCCAGAUUGCUUGAGCCCAGGAGUUUGAGACCAGCCUGGGCAACAUGGCAAAACUCCAUCUCUACCAAAAAAAAAAAAAAAACAAAAUUAGCUGGGCAUGGUGGUACACAUCUGUAGAACCAGCUACUCUGGAGGCUGAGCUGAGAGAACCCCUUGAGCCUAGGAGAUGGAGGUUGCUGUGAGCCAAGAUCGUGCCACUGCACUCAAGCCUGGGUGACAGAGCCAGACCCUAUCUCAUAAAUAAAUAAAUGUCAAUAUUCUCCAAAA